rnacentral:tRNA from 1 species
GCCCCCGUGGCGGAAUUGGCAUACGCGGCAGGUUGAGGACCUGUGCCCGAAAGGGCGUGGAGGUUCAAAUCCUCUCGGGGGCA